UAGGGAAUAUUAGUAAUGGGCGAAAGCCUGAACUAGCAACGCCGCGUGUGCGAAGAAGGCCUUCGGGUUGUAAAGCACUUUUUGAGUGGAUGAGGAAGGACGGUACUCUCAGAAUAAGUCUCGGCUAACUACGUGCCAGCAGCCGCGGUAACACGUAGGAGGCGAACGUUAUCCGGAUUUACUGGGCGUAAAGCGCGUGUAGGUGGUUUGGUAAGUAGGGCGUGAAAGCUCCUGGCUCAACUGGGAGAGGCCGUUCUAAACUGCCGAACUAGAGGAUGGUAGAGGGAGGUGGAAUUCCGGGUGUAGCGGUGGAAUGCGCAGAUAUCCGGAGGAACACCAGUGGCGAAAGCGGCCUCCUGGACCAUUCCUGACACUCAGGCGCGAAAGCUAGGGUAGC
rnacentral:rRNA from 1 species